rnacentral:misc_RNA from 1 species
UGGAGAAAGAGAAUCCAUACAGCCGAAUCCAAAUUUUUGAGAUAAAGGCUUAUUUGAGUUUAGUUGAGUUUUCUUUUCUCUCGUCCUUUCUUCUACUACAAGCAAAAUUUAGGAUGCAAGUUCAUAAUCUAUUUUCAUAGGUUAUUAGAAUUCUAGUGCUUAUAUCAUCCUUUUCUUAAGUAUUUAUAAUUUGAGAUCAGUGAGGUGCAUCUUCUGGGAAGCCUCAUUUGAUGAUUUCAGAAAAGAAGUUUGGAUGGCAUGGUUUAAUGAUUAAUUUCCUUCUCAAAAGCAAUAGUAUCACUUUUGCUUCACAGAAUCCAACUAUACAUGUGUGUGUGUGUGUGUGU